rnacentral:rRNA from 1 species
UACAUAGGGGGCAAGCGUUGUUCGGAAUUACUGGGCGUAAAGGGCGCGUAGGCGGCCGCCUAAGUCAGACGUGAAAUCCCUCGGCUCAACCGGGGAACUGCGUCUGAUACUGGGUGGCUUGAAUCCGGGGGAGGGAUGCGGAAUUCCAGGUGUAGCGGUGAAAUGCGUAGAUAUCUGGAGGAACACCGGUGGCGAAGGCGGUCUGCUGGGCAGUAGCUGACACUGAGGCGCGACAGCGUGGGGAGCAAACAGG